AAACAUGCAAGCUCGAGCGAACAGAGAAGGAGCUUGCUCCUUCGACGUUAGCGGCGGACGGGUGAGUAACACGUGGGCAACCUACCUUAUAGUUUGGGAUAACUCCGGGAAACCGGGGCUAAUACCGAAUAAUCUGUUUCACCUCAUGGUGAAACACUGAAAGACGGUUUCGGCUGUCGCUAUAGGAUGGGCCCGCGGCGCAUUAGCUAGUUGGUGAGGUAACGGCUCACCAAGGCGACGAUGCGUAGCCGACCUGAGAGGGUGAUCGGCCACACUGGGACUGAGACACGGCCCAGACUCCUACGGGAGGCAGCAGUAGGGAAUCUUCCACAAUGGGCGAAAGCCUGAUGGA
rnacentral:rRNA from 1 species